UUGUUUUGUCUUUCAGUUGAUUUGUUAUUGAUUUGUAAAGUGACGAGGUUAUUGGAGGUUAUUAUGAGUAUAUUCAAGACGAGAUGCGGUUAUCUGCAAACGUUCACAUCAGUCAUUUGGAAUUUCAGUUCAAGGAAACAAUUAAAAAAAGCUUCCUGGUAAGCGCGUAUUGCAAAUAGGCUAUAAGUGGAGUGACGAAAAAGGGAGAGUGCAAAGAAAUUGACAAGGCAGAGCGGAUGAUCGGGAAAUUUGAGUGAUAUUUCCUAUUUACGAGUGUUCAUAACGCCAUUCUAAUUGAAGACAUGGUGAUCCUCGAGGGACAGCUCCUUACGUAUGAGAGCGAGAAUAAAAAGUGAGUGGCACCCUGGCAAACAACCUGAGACUUCAUCAAGGCGCACACAGAAGUUAGCCUCUAGGCUAUAUGGAGCAGACCUUUUAAUUACUUUUCCAUUCUCUCCCAUCAAGUCGGUCAAGGAAGGAUCAGAAGAUGACCGCACUUGCAGCCCAAAUACACUUCUUAUAAAAACUGACGAUUCUCUCCUUUCCUCUGUGGUCGUGUUUUAAAUCGUGGAAUGGUAUGGGGCAGAACAGUGCCGAAGACUGAGUUAUCCGGCGCGGUUCAAUAGCGUUGACAUUAAAACGUCGACGGAUUUACUGGAGGAUAUUAGAAACGGAGACAAAGCAGGGGUCUCGUUAAACUCACCGCAGCGUCAGAGAGGGAGAUCCCUUUCCUCAGCCCGCGGUAGCAAUGAGCGGACUGUGCAAGCCUGUAGUUAUGGGACUCAUAUUGCUGAUCUGCAGUACUACCAGCCACUGUGAGGAGAGCGCGCCAUCCACGGCUCCCACGGUCGCGAGGAACGACAAGAGCCUACUCAGGCGGAUUGCAGACAUAGUGAGGCACGUGGAGGAGAGCCGCGGUGAGAACGGCACGAACGCAGCAUCACAGUCGACUUCUAGGAGAGAAUCCCCAGUUGAGACAAAAAGGGAUUUACGAAACCUCAAAACAGAUAGUGGCGAUCAAAUUAUUGAAAUAUUUCCUAGAGAUCUCAGAAAGAAAGAAAAGUUUUUAAAACACUUAACAGGUCCUCUGUAUUUCAAUCCCAAAUGCAGGAAGCACGUAUACAGACUAUAUCACAACACCAGAGACUGCACAAUACCUGCAUACUUCAAAAGAUGCGCACGGCUUCUCACACGCUUAGCAGGGAGCCCACGAUGUACAGAAGGGUAGCAGAAAUCAAGUUGAAGCCAAACCAGAGCUGUCCAGAAGACAGAGCCCUGAAAAAAAGUGCCUUAGACAACAACAGGGAAACCAAACAAAGUGGAACCAGUCACGUCCACCAUUACGCAGUGUCCGUCACCAGAGUUCACUAUUUUACAAAGGCAUGGAUUACCACCCACAGGCCUGCCUGGACCCGACAGUCUGUGGUCACUGCGGGUCUUGACAAGAGACUAUACAGAAGAUACAGAAGGUGAAGGGGGAAAACAUGGCAGCAACCACAGAUUUCAGGGUUAUUAUUGUCCUGCUGGCUGGACAAACUCUACUUUCUUCUUUCUUUCUUGGUUUUUACCAAAAGAGAAAAGGGAUUGCUUUUGUUUGUUUUUAACCCCCCUCCCCUAAAAAAACAACCAUCAACAACAAUUGGAAUCAAUCAAAUCCUUUGGUUGGGUUGCAACAUGCCUUUUUAGGUUGUAUUUCUGUUGUGGUUCGGCGUCAUAUCUUUGUCAGCAGCACUACCUAUUAGUGGAUAUAAGGCUUUCUCGGACAUUCUCUCACCUACCUGUGACCACACUGAAACGUAUGAUUAAAUUAUUAACUGCGUGACAAUUUCCUUGCCUUUUGUCUUUGUAAGACAUGUAUUAAAACAAGAGACGCUAUAUAUUAGGCACUGGUUGCAGUCAGAAGUUGUGUGUAAGAAGAAACCCUCCUGUGAGUCUGAGUGUGGUACAUAGUAUAUUUAUAUAUUCAAGUUGUCAUAUGUUUUCCUCUGUAUACAUACAGUAUGUAUAAACAUUCUAACCUGAGUGCAAUAUGUACAUAUUGUAAAAAGCAUAAAAGGAAUCCACAUAACAACCAUAAAUGAAAAUGUUUGACGUAUAUUAACUUGGUGUUAAAAAAUAUAUAUCAAAAAAACAUGAAAUAUAUUUAAAUAAAUUAUAAGAUUGGUACAAACAUGAGCGGCCUCUCUCUGUUGUUUCUUAAAGUACGUGGUGUUGUUCAUCACUGACUAUAACAGGCAAUUUGAUUCAAUUGGAAUCUAUAGGAAUCCAGUAGGUUGCACAGGUCUCUGGCUUCCUUACCUGACUAGAUUAAUACACAGAACUCAAAUAUAAAUGCAACAUGUUAAUUAAGUGUUGGUCCCAUGUUUCAUGAGCUGAAAUAAAAUAUCACAGAAAUUGUUGUGCACAGAUUUGUUUACAUCCCUGUUAGUGAGCAUUUUCUCCUUUGCCAAGAUAAUCCAUCCACCUGACAGGUGCGGCAUAUCAAGAAGCUGAUUAAACAGCAUGAUCAUUACACAGGUACACCUUGUGCUGGGGACAAUACAAUUAAAAAAUGUGCAGUUUUGUCACACAACACAUUGCAACAGGUGCCUCAGGUCUUUAGGGAAUUUACAUGCUGACUGCAGGAAUGUCCACCAGAGCUGUUGCCAGAGAAUUGAUUGUUAAUUUCUCAACCAUAAGCCGCCUCCAAGAUCAUUUUUCAGAAAUUGGCAGCAUGUCCAACCGGCCUCAAAACUGCAGACCACCUGUAACCACGCCAGCCCAGGACCUCUCCAU